GCACCUGCCGAGUUCCGAGCGACCGAUGGAGAUGGCGGCCGCGGCUGUGUGAGGGACGGUGGAGGCCCGGGCCCGAGGACGGGACAGGCCUGCGUGUCCGCAGGAGCCCGGCCGGGUACUGUGCUAAACCUUGGGGAGACGGCGAAGGGGAAAACAUACAGAGUUUGUGCCCUCCCAGAUUUUUCAGUCUUACUUGGUCACUUCACGUAUGUACCUGCGGUUAUAAAUUGAGAUGAGUGCUGUGAAGGAGAAGUCCAUUCUGAUGCUCUGAGUGUCUUACAAGUAUCAAGAACUUAAUAUAUGUGGUUGAAUAAACAAUCAAGGUAAACAGCAUCAAGUAAAAACUUCUGCUUGUUGAUAAGUACUUCAGACAUUCCCCCAGUGGCUAAAGUGGCAUAUGAAUUACGAAGUUGGGUCAUUUGGAAUGAAUGUAAGAGAAUUGCCAAGG